CUCCCUCUCUUUUCGCGGCGGAUGAGAGCUUGGAACUUCCUGGCGUUCUCCGACGGCGGAUACCGGAGGAUCUGCUCUCGCUCUCCAGAAUUCUCUCUCUCCUUCUCCUCCCUUGCUUCCCGCUGCCACUUCUCCUUCUCCGGCAAAAUCGCCGCCGCCAACUACCUCUUCCUCCCCGCUCCAAAUUCGCUCACAAUCUCUCUAUAUGCCUUCGCCUUGCUUUUCCCUCACAGGCGGAGCUCUGCCAGAAACUUCAACGUCGAUUUGACCAGCUGAAUCUAGGGCAGUGACAGAGGAUUGUUCCAUUUGAUUGAGCUCGCGGCUCGUUCCCAUUGUAUCUGAGAGGAUUUAUGGAUUUGAGAUUGUGAAAUCAGA
rnacentral:lncRNA from 1 species